ACGAACGCUGGCGGCGUGCUUAACACAUGCAAGUCGAACGGUGAAGCGCCUUCCUUUUUGGUGGGUGUGGAUGAGUGGCGAACGGGUGAGUAACACGUGAGUAACCUGCCCCCUUCUUCUGGAUAACCGCAUGAAAGUAUGGCUAAUACGGGAUAUUCUGGGUCUGUCGCAUGAUGGGUCUGGGAAAGAUAUUGUUUCGGUGGGGGAUGGGCUCGCGGCCUAUCAGCUUGUUGGUGGGGUGAUGGCCUACCAAGGCGGUGACGGGUAGCCGGCCUGAGAGGGUGGACGGUCACACUGGGACUGAGACACGGCCCAGACUCCUACGGGAGGCAGCAGUGGGGAAUAUUGCACAAUGGGCGCAAGCCUGAUGCAGCGACGCCGCGUGAGGGAUGGAGGCCUUCGGGUUGUGAACCUCUUUCGCCAGUGAAGCAGGCCUGCCUCGUUUGUGGGUGGGUUGACGGUAGCUGGAUAAGAAGCGCCGGCUAACUACGUG
rnacentral:rRNA from 1 species